UACGUAGGGGGCAAGCGUUGUCCGGAUUUAUUGGGCGUAAAGAGCGUGUAGGCGGCCAGGUAGGUCAGCUGUGAAAACUCGAGGCUUAACCUCGAGACGCCGGCUGAAACCCUCUGGCUAGAGUCCGGAAGAGGAGAGCGGAAUUCCUGGUGUAGCGGUGAAAUGCGCAGAUAUCAGGAAGAACACCCGUGGCGAAGGCGGUUCUCUGGGCCUUACCUGACGCUGAGGAGCGAAAGCAUGGGGAGCAAACAGG
rnacentral:rRNA from 1 species